GCUCGUAUAGCUCAGUGGUAGAGCGCUCCACUCGUAAUGCAAAGCUUCGGCGUUGCCAAAAGAUAUGGAGAGGUCAUUGGUUCGAUCCCAGUUUCGAGCACGA
rnacentral:tRNA from 1 species